rnacentral:rRNA from 1 species
AGCGAACGCUGGCGGCAGGCUUAACACAUGCAAGUCGAGCGGGCCCUUCGGGGUCAGCGGCAGACGGGUGAGUAACACGUGGGAACGUACCCUUUGGUUCGGAAUAACGCUGGGAAACUAGCGCUAAUACCGGAUACGCCCUUUUGGGGAAAGGCUUGCUGCCGAAGGAUCGGCCCGCGUCUGAUUAGCUAGUUGGUGGGGUAAUGGCCUAUCAAGGCGACGAUCAGUAGCUGGUCUGAGAGGAUGAUCAGCCACACUGGGACUGAGACACGGCCCAGACUCCUACGGGAGGCAGCAGUGGGGAAUAUUGGACAAUGGGCGCAAGCCUGAUCCAGCCAUGCCGCGUGAGUGAUGAAGGCCUUAGGGUUGUAAAGCUCUUUUGUCCGGGACGAUAAUGACGGUACCGGAAGAAUAAGCCCCGGCUAACUUCGUG